CCUAGGGUGGCUGCAGUGGGGAAUAUUGGACAAUGGGGGCAACCCUGAUCCAGCCAUGCCGCGUGUGUGAAGAAGGCCCUCGGGUUGUAAAGCACUUUCAGUGAGGAAGAACGCCUGGUGGUUAAUACCCAUCAGGAAAGACAUCACUCACAGAAGAAGCACCGGCUAACUCCGUGCCAGCAGCCGCGGUAAUACGGAGGGUGCGAGCGUUAAUCGGAAUUACUGGGCGUAAAGCGCGCGUAGGUGGCUUGAUAAGCCGGUUGUGAAAGCCCCGGGCUCAACCUGGGAACGGCAUCCGGAACUGUCAAGCUAGAGUGCAGGAGAGGAAGGUAGAAUUCCCGGUGUAGCGGUGAAAUGCGUAGAGAUCGGGAGGAAUACCAGUGGCGAAGGCGGCCUUCUGGACUGACACUGACACUGAGGUGCGAAAGCGUGGGUAGCAAACAGGAUUAGAUACCCUAGUAGUC
rnacentral:rRNA from 1 species